GACGAACGCUGGCGGCGUGCUUAACACAUGCAAGUCGAACGGAAAGGCCCUGCUUUUGUGGGGUGCUCGAGUGGCGAACGGGUGAGUAACACGUGAGUAACCUGCCCUUGACUUUGGGAUAACUUCAGGAAACUGGGGCUAAUACCGGAUAGGAGCUCCUGCUGCAUGGUGGGGGUUGGAAAGUUUCGGCGGUUGGGAUGGACUCGCGGCUUAUCAGCUUGUUGGUGGGGUAGUGGCUUACCAAGGCUUUGACGGGUAGCCGGCCUGAGAGGGUGACCGGCCACAUUGGGACUGAGAUACGGCCCAGACUCCUACGGGAGGCAGCAGUGGGGAAUAUUGCACAAUGGGCGGUAGCCUGAUGCAGCAACGCCGCGUGCGGGAUGACGGCCUUCGGGUUGUAAACCGCUUUCGCCUGUGACGAAGCGUGAGUGACGGUAAUGGGUAAAGAAGCACCGGCUAACUACGUG
rnacentral:rRNA from 1 species